rnacentral:tRNA from 1 species
ACUAUUUUGGCAGAUUAGUGCGAUAAAUUUAGAAUUUAUUUAUGUAAUUUUGAUUACAAAUAGUA